ensembl:lncRNA
AAAGUACCUAUGCGUUCCCCGUUCCCGGAUCCCAUCACUGGAGGUCCUGAGGCACUGCAGCUGGGGUGCUGUCAAGAUUUUAUUUUUUCCUUUUUCUCCCCAAAGCCCCCCGGUACACAGCUGUAUAUUCUUCGUUGUGGGUCCUUCUAGUUGUGGCAUGUGGGACGCUGCCUCAGCGUGGUUUGAUGAGCAGUCCCAUGUCCGCGCCCAGGAUUCGAACCAACGAAACACUGGGCCGCCUGCAGCGGAGCGCGCGAACUUAACCGCUCGGCCACGGGGCCAGCCCCUGUGAGCUCAUUUCUUGAAUGUGAGAGGUGAUUUCAUGCAAUUGAACCUCCCAGAAUUCUUUAACAGGUGGCUGCAGUUAAUGCCUGAGUCAGAAGCGGCUACCCUCUGGUGUCGAAUACCCUCCUUCCAGCUGGCUAUGCCUUUAAGACUGGAAAUCAGAACAAAGUGGGAAGGCACUAGCCUCCGAGAGAUUUUGGCAAAGAAAACACAAAGAAGAAAGAAGAGAAAACAGAAAGUUGAGAUUUCUUGUUGGCCCGGGGAGGGAACUUCUACUUGAGUCCACCAGUUUUUAGAUCAUGAGUAGUCAUUGAUUGACAUUUGUCUGAAUGCAGGCUUGACACUGGUGGAGAUCCAGGGCAACGAACAUCUCAAAACUCUUAUGGGGAAAACUUUGGAUUUAAAGAAAGGUAACUCAGUGAUAAUUCAGAUCAUGGACAGAAAUGUGACACGUAAGAAAGGCCUCUUCAUCUUCUUCCCUUUUACCUCACUCCACUCCUCGCCACACACACACAAACACUCACACACAAACACUCAUACACCCUCACACCCAUUUUAGUCACUGUGUUAUUCUUCCUCUAGAAGAUAGGAAAGUAGGACAGCAAGAGAUAUAUGAAGUGGAAUCAGCUUUUCGGGCUUAGGACGGUAGGAUUUGGGGCUAUGUAACGUUCUUAACUACUUUACUUGAUUUUGUUUAAGAAAUCAUAUUUUUUCAUUAUUAGCUAUUUCCUUUAUUGCCCUACCUAAAUAUUUAGUAACUUAUAACACAGUCACCUGUUUUAACUGAGAGAGGAGAAAGAAUGAAAGGGUGUUUGUUCAAUAUUGUUUAGUGCAGCAUGUUUUAAGGAGAGUAAGAUAUCCCUGGGGCUGGGAUGGUAGUAGCAGUAGGAUCAGAAAAAGAGGACCCAGAAGGGGAAGUGAGACUCGAGGAGAAACAGUCAUGAAUACUUAGACAAUAAAUUCUCCCCCUGCCUCCGGCAAGAGUCUCCUGCCAGCAUUUUAUUUGCUCAAAACUUACGGUUUCUAAAUUCUGUUUUAAUAAAGAUGAUUGAUUGUUCACUUUCAACCCUGACUUACUGGGUUUCUUUUGUAUUUUUGCUAGUUUUGUCUUUUUUUUGAGUAUGGAAGCCACUCAAUUGCAGAAGCAACAGGGACUCAAAUCAGUGGUAUAUUGAGGCCCUGUUUUGUGCUGCUCUCAUGACUAAGUGCGGCUCUGGGGAGAUGAGCAGGUAUUUGGCCUCAGGCCCAGCUGCCUCCCUCCUGUUGUCAACAACUGUUUAUUUCCCUAUUAAGAUUCUUUCUAUUUUCUCACCCUCUUGUCAUAAAUCACACUUUUUAACACCUUGUUAACAGUCUUUUUGGUUAAGGCAGAGGUGAAAAUAAUAUCUCAACCUUCAACCUUUUGUAGCUUGUAAAUUAUUCUCCCUCUCCCUCAGGGGAGCAUUAGUCUGUGACACUGAUAUUUUUGUCCCUGGCUAGUGAGUCUGGUUUAUGUCUGUUCCCUGCUAUGACAGCCAAGUCAAUGCUGAGCACAGGGGCUGUCCCA